CUCAUAGCGUAUAUUUAAGUUGUUGCAGUUAAAAAGCUCGUAGUCGGAUUUUGGCUGAGAACGAACGGUCCGCCGUUAGGUGUGCACUGUUUGGUCUCAGCUUCCUGGUGAGGAGGUGUGCUUCACGGCCACUUAGUCACCGUGGUUACUUUGAAAAAAUUAGAGUGUUCAAAGCGGGCUUACGCUCGAAUAUAUUAGCAUGGAAUAACACCAUAGGGCUCCUGUCCUAUUUCGUUGGUCUCGGGACGGGAGUAAUGAUUAAGAGGAACAGUUGGGGGCAUUCGUAUUUCAUUGUCAGAGGUGAAAUUCUUGGAUUUAUGAAAGACGAACUUCUGCGAAAGCAUUUGCCAAGGAUGUUUUCAUUGAUCAAGAACGAAAGUUGGGGGCUCGAAGAUGAUUAGAUACCAUCCUAGUCUCAACCAUAAACGAUGCCGACUAGGGAUUGGCGGAUGUUAAUUGAUGACUUCGCCAGCACCUUAUGAGAAAUCAAAGUUUUUGGGUUCCGGGGGGAGUAUGGUCGCAAGGCUGAAACUUAAAGGAAUUGACGGAAGGGCACCACCAGGCGUGGAGCCUGCGGCU
rnacentral:rRNA from 1 species